GCAUUGGUGGUUCAGUGGUAGGAUUCUCACCUUCCACACAGGAGACCUGGGUUUGAUUCCCAGCUAAUACA
rnacentral:tRNA from 1 species